rnacentral:rRNA from 1 species
UGAUCCCAUCCCGAACUCAGCAGUGAAACGAUGUAUCGCCGAUGGUAGUGUGGGGUUUCCCCAUGUGAGAGUAGGUCAUCGUCAAGA